GGGUUUGAUCAUUUCAACAAUAAAGUACCGAAUCUCAUGAGAAUUUUGAAGUUAAGCAUGCUUGGGCUAGAGUAGUAUUGGGAUGGGUGACCUCCAGGGAAGUCCUAGUGUUGCACCCU
rnacentral:rRNA from 1 species